GCAGUGGUGGUGCAGUGGUAGAAUCCUCACCUUCCAUGUGGGAGACCUGGGUUUGAUUCCGGGCUGAUGCA
rnacentral:tRNA from 1 species